AACUAGCGUAACAAACCAGCAAUCCAAUGGCAACGCAGGACGGGUGCAGUCGAGUCAAAUGGCAAGUGAAUUUGACCACACUGCAGGCACGGCUGCCCCCGCUUGUGAUUAUUUACAGUCCGCACGCCAGCCUCGUCACUUCAAAUUUGAAAAGGCAUUUGGAGAUGGAAGCGUCCAUCCAGUGUGACAAAAUAUCUGCAAGUCCUUGACAAGCAGAAAAAGUCAUCAGGAAAGAGCAAGACCCCCCCCCGCCAGCCCCAAACGACCCAAGUCACACCGCCCACAGCCUUCAGGGGGUAUGAUUUCCCAGCAACAGUUUGAAGGCACUGGAACAUUUCUGCGCAGCAGAGGUCCUUGAAUGGCUUCCUUGCUGGCUUUGUGGACUGCAAUGAAGGCGGUGAAGGAGCUGCUCACUCCUGAUUGGACGCUGAGGUCCACCACCUGGGUCUUCACUGUCUCAUCCUGCUCUCUGCUGCGCUCUGUCUCCUGCGCCUCCAGGCAGCGAAUCAGAGUUCGAGCACACAGUCUGUGGAUGGUCAAUCUGCCGACAGCAAAGAGGAUCCAACACCAUCACAAACUCUUUAUAUUUAAUACA